GGAUGUGAGGAUGAUCUGUCACCCCAUUGAUCACCAGGGUUGAUUCGACUGAUCUGGCUGGCUAGGCAGUGUCCCCUUCCUCCCUCACAACUCCAUGUCCAUUCCUCCGGAAGCAACACUCUCCGUGGAAGAGGAAGACCUCCCCCGAAUAGAGAUGGACUGGUCUUCAGUUGAGGGUAUAUGAGUAGCUGCACUCCCCUGCUAGAACCUCCAAACAAGCUCUCAAACUGUAUUUACUGUUGAAUGUAAAACAUUAAUACUACAAUAAAGAAAAAAAAGAAACAU
ensembl:misc_RNA 7SK 7SK RNA